CAGUCGCCGCGGGAAAACGUAGGUGGCAAGCGUUGUCCGGAAUUAUUGGGCGUAAAGGGCUCGCAGGCGGUUUCUUAAGUCUGAUGUGAAAGCCCCCGGCUCAACCGGGGAGGGUCAUUGGAAACUGGGAAACUUGAGUGCAGAAGAGGAGAGUGGAAUUCCACGUGUAGCGGUGAAAUGCGUAGAGAUGUGGAGGAACACCAGUGGCGAAGGCGACUCUCUGGUCUGUAACUGACGCUGAGGAGCGAAAGCGUGGGGAGCGAACAGGAUUAGAUACCCCUGUAGUCCCUGUCUCUUAUAU
rnacentral:rRNA from 1 species